rnacentral:rRNA from 1 species
ACAUGCAAGUCGAACGAGAAGCUCCCUUCGGGGAGUGGAGAGUGGCGCACGGGUGAGUAACACGUGAGCAACCUGCCGGGAAGCCCGGGAUAGCCCUCCGAAAGGAGGAUAAUACCGGAUGUGGCCACCCUGCGAUCGCAGGGGAAGCUAAAGGAUUAUUCACUUCCCGAGGGGCUCGCGGCCCAUCAGCUUGUUGGUGAGGGUAACGGCCCACCAAGGCGACAACGGGUAGCUGGUCUGAGAGGAUGGUCAGCCACACUGGAACUGAGACACGGUCCAGACACCUACGGGUGGCAGCAGUCGAGAAUCAUUCGCAAUGGGGGAAACCCUGACGAUGCGACGCCGCGUGGAGGAUGAAGGCCUUAGGGUUGUAAACUCCUGUCAAGAGGGAAUAANCGCAAGUGAAGUGUACNNCUCUAGAAGGAAGUGGGCGUNGCUAAUUCCCCGUGCCAGCAGCCCGCGUGUAACACGUGAAGCCCCNGAGCGUUGUUCCGGAUUCANUUGGGCGUAAAGGGUGCGUAGGCGGCGCGGAAAGUCCGGCGUGAAAGGCAGAGGCUCAACCUCUGGGCUGCGUUGGAUACUUCCGUGCUUGAGGACUGGAGGGGAGACUGGAAUUCACGGUGUAGCAGUGAAAUGCGUAGAUAUCGUGAGGAAGACCGGUGGCGAAGGCGAGUCUCUGGACAGAUCCUGACGCUGAGGCACGAAGGCUGGGGGAGCGAACAGGAUUAGAUACCCUGGUAGUCCCAGCAGUAAACGAUGUGAGCUUGAUGUGGGGGGAUUCGACCCCUUCCGUGUCGAAGCUAACGCGAUAAGCUCACCGUCUGAGGAGUACGGCCGCAAGGCUAAAACUCAAAGAAAUUGACGGGGACCCGCACAAGCGGUGGAGUAUGUGGUUUAAUUCGAUGCAACGCGAAGAACCUUACCUGGCCUUGACAU